rnacentral:rRNA from 1 species
CAGUCGCCGCGGUAAUACGUAGGGGGCAAGCGUUAUCCGGAUUUACUGGGUGUAAAGGGAGCGUAGGUGGUGAAGCAAGCCAGAAGUGAAAGCCCGGGGCUCAACCCCGAGGACUGCUUUUGGAACUGCCUCACUAGAGUGCAGGAGGGGUAAGCGGAAUUCCUAGUGUAGCGGUGAAAUGCGUAGAUAUUAGGAGGAACACCAGUGGCGAAGGCGGCUUACUGGACUGUAACUGACACUGAGGCUCGAAAGCGUGGGGAGCAAACAGGAUUAGAUACCCCGGUAGUCCCUGUCUCUUAUA